AAACAGAGAGCUUCAUCUGUCCAAGGUCAGAACAACAUUUGUUCACAGGGCGAAACAUUCCGCGGCUGGAUGGAAGAGGGAGGAUGAAGAGAGGCUGCAGAGAGGAUGGAGAGGCUCUUCUCUGCCCCAGAGGCCAAUCUUUACAUUAUUUCUGUUAUUAUAUAGUUAUAGUUAUUAUAUAGUUAGUGUAUGAGUUCUUUUUAAAUUAUGUGUUCAUAAUUGUUCAUUUUAUAUAUUUCAUGAAAUAAAAUAUUGUUCUAUUGUUA